GCUCAGAAAUGGGGAUAUAUGGACUCAAUGAUAUAUGUUCAUUGAACUAGGUUUAGCGAACUUUACAUGGUUAUUACAACUUAAACCCCUUAAUUAAAGUGUCUGUUUUCAUUUGUAUUAAUAGAGAAGUUUUAUGCAAGUUGAACAUGAAAAAUCUGUUUUUGUUUCUAAAAGUAGAUAAAAUCCUAUGUUGGAACCUCCACCUGAGUUUUUUGUAGUACAUAGUAUUGCGCCCCACCAUGCUUUUUCAAGUGCAUUUUUAAUUUACUGAUGCCCUUCUCAAGCCUCCUAUCUGUAGUCUCUAGCAGGAAGAACAUAGCUUUAUGUUCCUUUUCAUUGAUAUUUUUAUUUAAACACAGUAUGUAUCUUUCGCAGAGACACAAAUAAAAAUUUUACUUGAAGAGGCACAUGAUUGGAAGCUUAAUUAUCACUCCAUGCAAGCCAAUACCACAGGUGCGUCCUGCAAUUAACCAGCCAACUGCACCACCAGUUGAAGAAGAUUUAGAGCCGGUCAAGGCUAUUGAUGCCUCCAUAUAUCCAGUCUGCUUUGUAGGAGAGGCCGCCCUUGUCUGAUGCACUCCGAAUCCGUGAAACAAAUGCAUCAAGUAGUUCGAGUACCUCCAUGGAUAGUGGAGACUUGUCACAGUGUGAAAGUGUCCCAGGAGGGGAUUCAGAUUCACAUGCAGAGAUCCAUGUUUUUUUUUUUUUUUUGAAGAAAGUACGAAUAUUAUUAGAUACGAUUAAAAUCGUACAUGAGGGCAUCCAACACAAAUUCUGGAGCAUGAGUAAACCAUUCAAGAUCCAUGUUAUCUCUACCAUUCAAACAUCUACUACCUCAGAUUCAAUCCCAUCAGCUCCACCAGUUUCUGAUGAUUGUCUAAAUGAUCCUUUUCAGUGUCGAUCAACUGAUUCCAGUCCUAUCCAGGAAGGUGAAAAUGCUUCUUCUUCAUGUGUGAUAUGUAUGGAUGCUCCAGUUGAAGGAGCUUUUAUCCCAUGUGGGCAUAUGGCUGGAUGCAUGCGUUGUUUGAAUGACAUUAAAGAUAAGAACUGGCAUUGCCCUGUCUGCCGCGCUAAGGUCGAUCAGGUCAUAAAGCUCUAUGUUGUAUGAUUCAUUAGCAUUGAACACCUUGAAGGUAGAUUCUGUUUCUGUUAAUAGAUGAAGUUCUGUCCAACCUGAGUUUGUUGUACACAUUAUUACCUUUCACAUUGCUUUGUUAAGUAUUAGCACUUGGUUUUCACUUUUCAGUUUUUGAUGGGUGUAAAUUCUAUAUGUAUUUACCCUUUUCUUUAAAAUGUGUUUCUUAUCAAUGAA